GGGCCCGCACAAGCAGUGGAGCAUGUGGUUUAAUUCGAUGCAACGCGAAGAACCUUACCAGGCCUUGACAUCCCCGGAACUUUCUAGAGAUAGAUUGGUGCCUUCGGGAACCGGGUGACAGGUGCUGCAUGGCUGUCGUCAGCUCGUGUCGUGAGAUGUUGGGUUAAGUCCCGUAACGAGCGCAACCCUUAUUCCUAGUUGCCAGCGAGUAAUGUCGGGGACUCUAGGAAGACUGCCGGUGACAAGCCGGAGGAAGGCGGGGACGACGUCAAGUCAUCAUGGCCCUUACGGGGUGGGCUAGAAACGUGCUACAAUGGGGAGUACAAAGGGCUGCAAACCAGCAAUGGUAAGCG
rnacentral:rRNA from 1 species